rnacentral:piRNA from 1 species
AUGAUGAUGAGGCCUGUGCAUA